rnacentral:rRNA from 1 species
CUACGGGUGGCUGCAGUGAGGAAUAUUGCACAAUGGGGGGAACCCUGAUGCAGCAACGCCGCGUGGAGGAUGACGCAUUUCGGUGUGUAAACUCCUUUUAUAUGUCAAGAAAAUGACGGUAGCAUAUGAAUAAGCACCGGCUAACUCCGUGCCAGCAGCCGCGGUAAUAAGGAGGGUGCAAGCGUUACUCGGAAUUACUGGGCGUAAAGGACGCGUAGGCGGGUUGGAAAGUCAGGUGUGAAAUCCUACAGCUUAACUGUAGAACUGCACUUGAAACUUCUAAUCUAGAGUAUGGGAGGGGGAGAUGGAAUUAGUGGUGUAGGGGUAAAAUCCGUAGAUAUCACUAGGAAUACCUAAAGCGAAGGCGAUCUCCUGGAACAUUACUGACGCUAAGGCGUGAAAGCGUGGGGAGCAAACAGGAUUAGAUACCCCGGUAGUC